rnacentral:lncRNA from 1 species
GAAACGCUUCAGCACCACCCCAGGAGAAUAGAGCGCGGGCUGGGGCUGCGGAGGGACCCGGCGACCUCUGUCAGGAGCGAGGGGAGGGCCGGGACGCCAGGGAUAAAGGGAAAGGCAGAGACCAGAGCUGCCCACCCAGGGACUCCCAGGGCAACAAAGCCAGGCAAACUGAGAGGUGGGGGCGCGCGGCCCCCGCCAGCCCGAGGCCCGGGCGGAGCGCAAGCCCAGCCAGCCGUGCCCGACGGGGGCGCCGCAGUGUGGGGGGGCAGGUGUGGCGGGCGGUCCGGAGGCACUGCGGCAGCUCGGGUGGGGCUGGGGGCGGUCUCUCUGUGCGCCCGAGGCUGUGCCCGCCGGACCCUCACGGCCCCGCCCAGGGUCCCCGGCGUACCGCUAUUCGGCCUCCGCAGAGCGCGCCACUGGUGCGAGCACCGGGCGAGGAGCUGACCCUACCCGCUGACGUCUCCCUCACCGACCCCCUUCAAGCUACCACUCCCGAGGCUGGGACUUCUAAAAGCAGCAGCCCCACCCCGCAACUUGGGGUCCCAUUGUCCUUUCUGAGAGCUGCAGCCAAGGCCCCAAGGGCGGUAGCGAGGCGGGCUCUGUCUGGUGGCGAAGCGCAGGCGGUUCUGCAUCCCAGCAUCUCCCCGGGGAGGGGGGGGCGGGGGGAGCGGGCGUGGCCCUAGGACUAGCCUAGUCAUUCUGAGGAAAGAAAGGAUCGGGAGGUUUGAAAUCAGAAAAGGCGUUUCUCAGGGGCUGAGGUAGCCGUGGUGAGGAUGAAUCCCACGCGGGCCCUGGCACAUGGGCUUCGGCCCCAGGUCUGCGGUGGUGGGGGUCCCAGCCUUUUCCUGAGGCCAGAAGAGGACUGAAAGGAGUGGUUGCAUCAGGUCUCCCCCACCCUUCUGCCUCCUGCGGUUGCGGCUUUAUUGUGGCCUCUGCUCCCCUGACACCUGCAUUUCACUUAGCGGGAGAGGCGGUGGCCAACUCAGCACAGGCUGCGGACUCAGCGUGGUGACAGAUCCCUCAAGCUAGAAGACUUCUGUUAGGAGAAGCGUUAUCCUGUCA